AUGUUUUCAGUUAGUCUAAAUAUUUCGAAGUACUUCCAUAGCCAAAAGUGCUUUGGCGUCACUUCUUCCGAGGUCGAUUGGAGUAGCUGGGCAUGGCUUCGUCAUGCGUUGAGUGUGCUUUGGCGUGACUUCGUCGGACGUAGAGUGAAACGGCUGGAGGUGGCUUUGCGUAUCAAAUGUCAAGUGGCCCAGUUGCGUGUGAUGUCUUCAAGCCAUCUGAGUUGCCGAAUCGCAUGUGAUGUCUUCAAGCCAUCUUGGUUGCCGACUUCUAAAUUUUUGGUGUGUGCUUCUGCGGCCGGCUGUACUUGUUUAUAUAUGGAUGGAGGUGCAUGGGUUGAGGUGGCCGAGACCGUGAAAGCAGAUCGGAAACCUGUCUUUUUUUUCAUGUCUUGGUUCCUGUUUUGGAACUUCCUCACGUGA
rnacentral:rRNA from 1 species